GGUCUCAUGAGAGCAGAGUAGAGGGGCAGAAUCACCUCCCUUGACCUGCUGGUCACACUUCUCUUGAUGCAACCCAGCAUAUGGUUGGCUUUCUGGUCUGCAAGUGCACAUUGCCAGCUCAUCUAAGAACCAUAGGUUCUUAAGAAAACUUGCGCUAUUUUCUCAUUUUCUAAUUUUGACAAAGCUAUCACCCUUGUAUUAAGAAGAGUGCAAGUAAAAGUGUAUGCUGUGGUUUCAUGUGGGCUGAGAUUUCUGGAAAAGAAGGCAAAUGAAGCACAAAUAUGAUAUCCAUGCUAUUGCAGAUAGGUAGGAACAACACAUGGCCACACAUCUUAGGGCUAUCAUUCCUUAAAGCAGAUACUCUGUGUGCGCAAAUGUGCAUUUAAUUCUUCAUGCUGUGGGAUUCUCCCUACUCUUACAGUCACAAAAACAACAAUUACUUUGAGGAUAGGGGAUGUUACUGAACAAAGUGCCUGAAGUAACCGGAAUGUUGUACUGCACCCCACCAAAAUGAUGUUUUCAUACAAGGACUCUGGGGUAGAUGUUACAUGCUAUGGGAUUUGGUACGCAUGCCUGCUCUUGUUUAGAAUGGCAAUAUGUGUGUUUAUAUUUAGUGCCCCAUACUCACAUUCUGUAGUGCUAAUUUCUGCUGUGUUGGGAAGAAAGGGAAUGAGACUUGUGCCAGAAAUGGGUCGUUAAUAUUUACUCUCGAAAGAAAGAAAUUAGAUAGUAUGUAUUUGCUUAUUUCAUUUGAUUUAAAACUUUACUAACCCUCUUUGUAUAAUUGUAAGUUGUAUUUGAAAUAACUGGACUGAUAUUACGAAGUGGCUUUGUUUGGUCCAUUUUACUGCUUAAGGUGAUAAUGGAUAAAAAAGAUGGAGGAAAUUUUCCUUUAAUUAUUCACCAAGUGAAAUUCAUUUUGGUGCAGAUGGCCAAUGAAAUCUUGAGGAAUAUAUCACCUAACUCCUGUUUCAAGAACUCCAGAAGAGGAACAUGAACAAAUCAUUUGGAACAUACAGGUUUUUUGGCUCUUUCUGGACAAAACAAUUAUUAGAUGGUUGCCUCCUAGAGUGUUUAUCAGAAUAAGAAUACAUGUGUGAGCAAGAUCUGCAAGAACAGGCUGGCAUUUUGAAGAACCUAAUGGUGAUUAAACUGAUGUUCUGCCAUCAGAAAGUUAGCUCAGCUGAGUGGGGUUUCCCCAUCUUUCCUCUCCAAAGAACAGCCAUUCUUUGAGCAUGUCUGACAGAAAGGAGUAUGGCUAACUGAUUCAGCUAGCUGACAGCUUCUGACACUGCCAAGUGAGGUUUGUUGCAAAUUGCCUGAUUUAGGGCUGCCCUUCGUGCCUGUUUCCCAUAUCUGUGUUGUUGUCUGCCAAGAGCUGAAUAAUCUGGCCAUAAGUAACAAAAACAUAUUUUAUAGAUCUCAUUUCAUGUUGCAAUAUGCUUUUGUCAUAUUCUUUUGCGGCCUUAACUGAAAAAUGAAAAUCUGUGGAGAACAAGUGAAACUUACAGUGUGUCCUGGGAAUGAGAAGUUCCAGAGUUUUUGAACUGGGUGAGAUCUCAAUUAGAGGCUUCAAAACUACUGAGAGUGCAAGCCAGUGAAAACAAAUGAAAGGCAAUUAAAUUGGACUCUCCUAGUUUGAGCACUCCCUGUGAUCUCUGUUGUUGCUUUGUGCCACAGAUGUUGAGGCAGUCUCAGAAGUAAUUCUUACCAUUUAAGGCUCUUAAGAUUAAAACCAGCUUUUUCUCAUAGAGAAAGUUACUAACUGGUGAAGACAGAGAAGUAUGAAAAUAUGUUCUCUAUAGAGGAGUACCCCAUAUCAAGCACUGACGCACUGUGCAGCAACUGCACUCGGUAGGGGUCUGAGGAGUGCGUUACAGCAAUGAGAAGGGCAAGGACAGAGCACAGCUACAGGGGUUGCAUCAGGAACACCUGCACAAGGUAUUCCUUUCUUCUAACUGGAAUGAAUUUGAAGACCAUACAUUUUGAAUCAACCAUAAGAUUUUGAGCAUCUCUCAUUUAUCUCAGUCAAUAAUGCAUCUGCAUUUUCUCCAUCAUCUGUUCUGUGUUGCUGUGGUGUCCAUGAGCAAUAUCAAGCUGGAUGUCCUUCCAGGGAACUGUUCCCAGCCAUAGUUCCUGGAUCAGUUGUCUGAUCUUCCCAAAAUCUCCUUGUUGUUUCCCCAUAUGAUAUCAGCAUAACAUACCUUGUAGCUGCAUGUAAUGAUUUUUGCCAAAGGCAACAUACUGAAUCGAGCUUCACCCACCCAGAGGAGUCACUGAGUCCGAGCACUGCAUCAGCCAUCCGGCAAAGGAAUUGAAGACGUGAGAGAUGGAAGAAACAAUUGGUCAUCUAAUCUCUUUUUGUAUUUUUGCUGGUCUUGUUGCCAGGGAGAUACUGUAUUAAAAGGAGCGGCCUACAUAGUCACUUCAUGUACAAGCUGCCUCAUUGUAAAAACAGCAUUUAAAAAUAAAGUUUAAAAAUACUUGUA